rnacentral:rRNA from 1 species
UACAGAGGGGGCAAGCGUUGUUCGGAAUUACUGGGCGUAAAGGGCGCGUAGGCGGCCUGUUAAGUCGAACGUGAAAUCCCCGGGCUCAACCCGGGAACUGCGUCCGAUACUGGCAGGCUUGAAUCCGGGAGAGGGAUGCGGAAUUCCAGGUGUAGCGGUGAAAUGCGUAGAUAUCUGGAGGAACACCGGUGGCGAAGGCGGCAUCCUGGACCAACACUGACACUGAUGAGCGAAAGCCAGGGGAGCAAACGGG